rnacentral:rRNA from 1 species
ACUAAGCGUACACGGUGGAUGCCCUGGCAGUCAGAGGCGAUGAAGGACGUGCUAAUCUGCGAUAAGCGUCGGUAAGGUGAUAUGAACCGUUAUAACCGGCGAUUUCCGAAUGGGGAAACCCAGUGUGUUUCGACACACUAUCAUUAACUGAAUCCAUAGGUUAAUGAGGCGAACCGGGGGAACUGAAACAUCUAAGUACCCCGAGGAAAAGAAAUCAACCGAGAUUCCCCCAGUAGCGGCGAGCGAACGGGGAGCAGCCCAGAGCCUGAAUCAGUGUGUGUGUUAGUGGAAGCGUCUGGAAAGGCGCGCGAUACAGGGUGACAGCCCCGUACACAAAAAUGCACAUGCUGUGAGCUCGAUGAGUAGGGCGGGACACGUGGUAUCCUGUCUGAAUAUGGGGGGACCAUCCUCCAAGGCUAAAUACUCCUGACUGACCGAUAGUGAACCAGUACCGUGAGGGAAAGGCGAAAAGAACCCCGGCGAGGGGAGUGAAAAAGAACCUGAAACCGUGUACGUACAAGCAGUGGGAGCACGCUUAGGCGUGUGACUGCGUACCUUUUGUAUAAUGGGUCAGCGACUUAUAUUCUGUAGCAAGGUUAACCGAAUAGGGGAGCCGAAGGGAAACCGAGUCUUAACUGGGCGUUAAGUUGCAGGGUAUAGACCCGAAACCCGGUGAUCUAGCCAUGGGCAGGUUGAAGGUUGGGUAACACUAACUGGAGGACCGAACCGACUAAUGUUGAAAAAUUAGCGGAUGACUUGUGGCUGGGGGUGAAAGGCCAAUCAAACCGGGAGAUAGCUGGUUCUCCCCGAAAGCUAUUUAGGUAGCGCCUCGUGAAUUCAUCUCCGGGGGUAGAGCACUGUUUCGGCAAGGGGGUCAUCCCGACUUACCAACCCGAUGCAAACUGCGAAUACCGGAGAAUGUUAUCACGGGAGACACACGGCGGGUGCUAACGUCCGUCGUGAAGAGGGAAACAACCCAGACCGCCAGCUAAGGUCCCAAAGUCAUGGUUAAGUGGGAAACGAUGUGGGAAGGCCCAGACAGCCAGGAUGUUGGCUUAGAAGCAGCCAUCAUUUAAAGAAAGCGUAAUAGCUCACUGGUCGAGUCGGCCUGCGCGGAAGAUGUAACGGGGCUAAACCAUGCACCGAAGCUGCGGCAGCGACACUAUGUGUUGUUGGGUAGGGGAGCGUUCUGUAAGCCUGUGAAGGUGUACUGUGAGGUAUGCUGGAGGUAUCAGAAGUGCGAAUGCUGACAUAAGUAACGAUAAAGCGGGUGAAAAGCCCGCUCGCCGGAAGACCAAGGGUUCCUGUCCAACGUUAAUCGGGGCAGGGUGAGUCGACCCCUAAGGCGAGGCCGAAAGGCGUAGUCGAUGGGAAACAGGUUAAUAUUCCUGUACUUGGUGUUACUGCGAAGGGGGGACGGAGAAGGCUAUGUUGGCCGGGCGACGGUUGUCCCGGUUUAAGCGUGUAGGCUGGUUUUCCAGGCAAAUCCGGAAAAUCAAGGCUGAGGCGUGAUGACGAGGCACUACGGUGCUGAAGCAACAAAUGCCCUGCUUCCAGGAAAAGCCUCUAAGCAUCAGGUAACAUCAAAUCGUACCCCAAACCGACACAGGUGGUCAGGUAGAGAAUACCAAGGCGCUUGAGAGAACUCGGGUGAAGGAACUAGGCAAAAUGGUGCCGUAACUUCGGGAGAAGGCACGCUGAUAUGUAGGUGAAGUCCCUCGCGGAUGGAGCUGAAAUCAGUCGAAGAUACCAGCUGGCUGCAACUGUUUAUUAAAAACACAGCACUGUGCAAACACGAAAGUGGACGUAUACGGUGUGACGCCUGCCCGGUGCCGGAAGGUUAAUUGAUGGGGUUAGCGCAAGCGAAGCUCUUGAUCGAAGCCCCGGUAAACGGCGGCCGUAACUAUAACGGUCCUAAGGUAGCGAAAUUCCUUGUCGGGUAAGUUCCGACCUGCACGAAUGGCGUAAUGAUGGCCAGGCUGUCUCCACCCGAGACUCAGUGAAAUUGAACUCGCUGUGAAGAUGCAGUGUACCCGCGGCAAGACGGAAAGACCCCGUGAACCUUUACUAUAGCUUGACACUGAACAUUGAGCCUUGAUGUGUAGGAUAGGUGGGAGGCUUUGAAGUGUGGACGCCAGUCUGCAUGGAGCCGACCUUGAAAUACCACCCUUUAAUGUUUGAUGUUCUAACGUUGACCCGUGAUCCGGGUUGCGGACAGUGUCUGGUGGGUAGUUUGACUGGGGCGGUCUCCUCCUAAAGAGUAACGGAGGAGCACGAAGGUUGGCUAAUCCUGGUCGGACAUCAGGAGGUUAGUGCAAUGGCAUAAGCCAGCUUGACUGCGAGCGUGACGGCGCGAGCAGGUGCGAAAGCAGGUCAUAGUGAUCCGGUGGUUCUGAAUGGAAGGGCCAUCGCUCAACGGAUAAAAGGUACUCCGGGGAUAACAGGCUGAUACCGCCCAAGAGUUCAUAUCGACGGCGGUGUUUGGCACCUCGAUGUCGGCUCAUCACAUCCUGGGGCUGAAGUAGGUCCCAAGGGUAUGGCUGUUCGCCAUUUAAAGUGGUACGCGAGCUGGGUUUAGAACGUCGUGAGACAGUUCGGUCCCUAUCUGCCGUGGGCGCUGGAGAACUGAGGGGGGCUGCUCCUAGUACGAGAGGACCGGAGUGGACGCAUCACUGGUGUUCGGGUUGUCAUGCCAAUGGCACUGCCCGGUAGCUAAAUGCGGAAGAGAUAAGUGCUGAAAGCAUCUAAGCACGAAACUUGCCCCGAGAUGAGUUCUCCCUGACUCCUUGAGAGUCCUGAAGGAACGUUGAAGACGACGACGUUGAUAGGCCGGGUGUGUAAGCGCAGCGAUGCGUUGAGCUAACCGGUACUAAUGAACCGUGAGGCUUAACC